rnacentral:rRNA from 1 species
AUUGAACGCUGGCGGCAGGCCUAACACAUGCCAGUCGAACGGUAACAGGAAGCAGCUUGCUGCUUCGCUGACGAGUGGCGGACGGGUGAGUAAUGUCUGGGAAACUGCCUGAUGGAGGGGGAUAACUACUGGAAACGGUAGCUAAUACCGCAUAACGUCGCAAGACCAAAGAGGGGGACCUUAGGGCCUCUUGCCAUCGGAUGUGCCCAGAUGGGAUUAGCUAGUAGGUGAGGUAACGGCUCACCUAGGCGACGAUCCCUAGCUGGUCUGAGAGGAUGACCAGCCACACUGGAACUGAGACACGGUCCAGACUCCUACGGGAGGCAGCAGUGGGGAAUAUUGCACAAUGGGCGCAAGCCUGAUGCAGCCAUGCCGCGUGUAUGAAGAAGGCCUUCGGGUUGCAAAGUACUUUCAGCGGGGAGGAAGGGAGUAAAGUUAAUACCUUUGCUCAUUGACGUUACCCGCAGAAGAAGCACCGGCUAACUCCGUG